rnacentral:rRNA from 1 species
AUUGAACGCUGGCGGCAGGCCUAACACAUGCAAGUCGAGCGGAGCGGCGGACGGGUGAGUAAUGCCUAGGAAUCUGCCUGGUAGUGGGGGAUCACGUCCGUAAACGGGCGCUAAUACCGCAUACUAUCAGAUGAGCCUAGGUCGGAUUAGCUAGGUGGUGGGGUAAAGGCCUACCAAGGCGACGAUCCGUAACUGGUCUGAGAGGAUGAUCAGUCAGCCUGGAACUGAGACACGGUCCAGACUCCAACGCGAGGCAGAAGUGGGGAAUAUGGGAGAAUGGGCGAAAGCCGGAUAAAGCCAUGCCGUGUGUGUGAAGAAGGGCUACGGAUUGAAAAGCACAGUAAGUUGGGAGGCGUUACCAACAGAGUAAGCACCGGCUAACUUCGUGCCAGCAGCCGCGGUAAUUC